rnacentral:rRNA from 1 species
UCGAGGAUCUCCGGCAAUGGGCGCAAGCCUGACCGAGCGACGCCGCGUGGGCGAUGAAGGCCUUCGGGUUGUAAAGCCCUGUCGCGAGGGAGAAAGGGGAAACCUUGAUCGACCUCGGGAGGAAGCACGGGCUAAGUUCGUGCCAGCAGCCGCGGUAAGACGAACCGUGCGAACGUUGUUCGGAAUCACUGGGCUUAAAGGGCGCGUAGGCGGGUCUCUUAGUCUGGAGUGAAAGCCCACGGCUCAACCGUGGAAGCGCUUUGGAUACUGGAGAUCUCGAGGGAGGUAGGGGCGUGCGGAACUUCCGGUGGAGCGGUGAAAUGCGUAGAUAUCGGAAGGAACACCGGUGGCGAAAGCGGCGCGCUGGACCUCUUCUGACGCUGAGGCGCGAAAGCCAGGGGAGCAAACGG